rnacentral:rRNA from 1 species
AUUUCUUCGGAAUGAAGAUUUUGUGACUGAGUGGCGGACGGGUGAGUAACGCGUGGGUAACCUGCCUCAUACAGGGGGAUAACAGUUGGAAACGACUGCUAAUACCGCAUAAGCGCACGGUGUCGCAUGACACAGUGUGAAAAACUCCGGUGGUAUGAGAUGGACCCGCGUCUGAUUAGCUAGUUGGUGAGGUAACGGCCCACCAAGGCGACGAUCAGUAGCCGACCUGAGAGGUUGAACGGCCACAUUGGGACUGAGAUACGGCCCAGACUCC